CUUUGCAACAGUUUAUUAAUUAUUAAUUAUUUUUUAUAGUUUAUUAAUGCUAGGGAAUGUCUGGGAUGUGACAAUUCUGUAUAUUUACUACACUGUUUGGAAAAGCAUCUUACAUGCUGCAGAUAAUGUCACUCUGUAGCUAGGCUUUCUAAUAACAGUUUUGCUUUGCAAAGAUAUAUGAGAACUAUAAACAAUGAAAAUAUCUGGCGGCUCAUCUUUUAUUAUUUUUCCUUCAUAGCAAAGCAAACUCAAGCAUAUGACUCAAUAAAAAUGGGGAGCAGAAUACAGAAGGCUCUUAUGAAUCAAAUUAAUAAAUACAUGUAAAUCUAUGACUGCAUUAUUAUGCUGGUCUAUGUAGACUUCUUUGGUUCAGUUAAGAUGCUGCCAGGUUACUUGUUUGUAUCUGCACCAGGGAAUCACCCACCAGGAGACAGGAUUGAUUUGCUUGGGUAAGUGUUGUGAUCUAAACGUAAGGCUCCUUCUCCUAGGGAAUGGGCACAACCAGGAAGGGGCGGCUACGGCACAAGCAUGGAGAACAGAGAUUUCUGCUCCCGCUGCCGAGGAGGAGGGGGAAAGGGAUGAAGCCAGCUCUGGGGGUGCCGGUGACGGCCUCCCACCCCUCACUUCUCCCCCGGCGACAGGCGCAGAGGGCUGCAGGAUCCGGGAGCAGGGCCGGGCUCUUCCCGGCCCUCCCCACAGCUGAUUCCCACCAGCCCAGCGCAAGGAGAUGUGCCCUCCGCAGCCUGCCGGCCCAGGCUGCUGCCUCCGUUGCCUGGGCUUUGGACCAGCUCUGUUCUCAGUUCCAUCUCGAAAUAUUAUAUUCAGAAUUACAUAACUGAAUUCACGUCUAAUUUAGCCUAACCUCAUCAAUGAUUAAAUAAUUAAACUUAUUACUGCUCUUCGUUCUAAUCCAGGAGGCAUCAUAAUGAAAUAGUGCAUCUGGCAGAAACAGAAACAGUAGAGCAAUUCGAGACAGAGGUCCAGAGGAAGGACGAAAACCGAACAAUGGAGUUUAAUGAGCAUCUCUGUCACCACUUCAAAGAGCUCCAUUGUUUCAGGCUUCUCAGUUCUCUCUACAUCUUGCAGACAAGAUCAUUAUUAUCAGCUACCAAAUGCUGUUUUUAAGUUUAAAGUGAAAAUCAGUGCAAACAUGACUAGAGAAGCUGAGGCGCAGCGAUUCGCACCGCUCGCUGGGGUUGCUGAAGAGGUGGUUCUCUCACGCUGGCUCCGGGAACCUUCCCGUCUGCGGGAUAAAAGCAGGCCUGAGGCUCUGCACUGUAGGUGGGUUGGGGCCUGAAAGGUGGCCUUUCCUCCCAAACUCAUCCGAGAUACCACAAAGUCAAUGGAAAGACUUUCAAGAGGCAUCAGACCACCCUUAGGUUGCUGCAAGCGGGAGGAGUGCGGGAGCUGCGCUGGUGUAAUCAAGACUGUUCGGUGAUAAGGAAUUACCAGGGAAAACACUUUACCUUCUGACAAUGCUUUUCUCCUUUUUCUGCCAGAGCCUGGACUUUCUUGGCACACUGUAACACUCAUAUUUUCUCUCAGGCAUUUUGGAGAGUUGGUCAUUUAAGGACAAGGAGGAAGAAUCAGUAAUGUGUUACCUUAGGAAGGUUUUGAAGUUCAUUUUCACUUAAAACCUGCCAGUAGUCCAACCAAAUGUAAGAAAACUUUCAUUAAAAUAUUGCCAAAAGGCAAUUCAUUGUUUUGAAAGAACAUAUCCACAUUAAGAAAUUAUAUACAUAUGUGUUACUGAAAUCUCUACAUGGAAACUUAAAACUAACCUGCCUUUUCAGAUUUUCUAGAAAUCUGGAGACGGUUGAAUUAAAAUCUCUGGACCUAGAUCUCUCUUUAAAGCUGCCAGUCUGGGUUGCAUCCAAACUACAGGCUCUCACCACCAGCUAUGAUUAGAGGCAGCCGAGGCAACUAAUAUUAUUUGAGUAGUUGGCAUCAACAAAACCAUAACCUUCUCCUUGAGUUUGUAGUAAUGCCAUCUAAAACUAGUAGAGAUCUUAAACUAUAUCCUCUACCACACCUGUUUUUUUGGUUCAGUUUUAUCCUAUUAUUUACCAUAGUCACAUAGUAUAAUUAGCUGAUCUAUAAUUUAUGCUGUUAUUCAGAGCAGUAUAAAUAGUUUACUUUAUUCUUGCAAGAGCACAGUAUGUCCAGAAAACACCAAUAUUUUAUUUAUCUCUGUUUAUGCAUGUAUUUGUUUAUCUAUGUGCUUAUUAAGUAUAGAAUUAUUAUAAUAGCUAAAAAUAAAUACUAACCAAAAAGACGCA
rnacentral:lncRNA from 1 species